rnacentral:rRNA from 1 species
GACGAACGCUGGCGGCGUGCUUAACACAUGCAAGUCGAACGGAAAGGCCCUGCUUUUGUGGGGUGCUCGAGUGGCGAACGGGUGAGUAACACGUGAGUAACCUGCCCUUGACUUUGGGAUAACUUCAGGAAACUGGGGCUAAUACCGGAUAGGAGCUCCUGCUGCAUGGUGGGGGUUGGAAAGUUUCGGCGGUUGGGGAUGGCCUCGCGGCUUAUCAGCUUGUUGGUGGGGUAGUGGCUUACCAAGGCUUUGACGGGUAGCCGGCCUGAGAGGGUGACCGGCCACAGUGGGACUGAGAUACGGCCCAGACUCCUACGGGAGGCAGCAGUGGGGAAUAUUGCACAAUGGGCGGAAGCCUGAUGCAGCAACGCCGCGUGCGGGAUGACGGCCUUCGGGUUGUAAACCGCUUUCGCCUGUGACGAAGCGGGAGUGACGGUAAUGGGUAAAGAAGCACCGGCUAACUACGUG